AAAAGCAAACCGGUGAGAGAAAUAAGAAGACAGCAAAUGGAUACCUCUGCAGGCUGCAGCUCCCAGCAGGAUAGGAAAUGGCAGUAUAAUGUAAUGCUAUAUAAAUAGAUUCUAGAAAAGAAAGGUGUAGAGGAAUCCCAUUAAAAUUUGGGGCUCUAUAGUUUGCUUAAUUAUUCGGCGACGAGAGUUGAUUCCCCACAGGCACCUGCUAUAAAGCAAUGAGAUUUACCACCUUUGAUCCAAUGGACUUGGAUUCAGCUAAGCUUGCGGCUGCAAAAGAGAAGUUUGGACGCGAAAUCUAUGUAUUUGAAACAUCAACAGCUGCUUCAACGCCUUCUAAUGUUUACAGCAACAAGUACAUUCUGUUUGAUCAGUAUGACUUCCUGAACAAGAGUAUUUCCUUAAUUCUUCAAUUUGAUAUUUGCAUAAUAUAUUCUUCUCAUUUUCUUGGGAAGUUUCCGAGGACUUCUCUGAGUUCACCCCAGAAGAUUAUUAUCGACUUUUGGCAACUAAAAGGAAGAUAAGUAUUUGAAGACACGGAACAGUCGAGAGGCAGAAGAAGCUGCACGUAAAGCAAGGAUUAUUAAGGCUGUAAUCAGAGUGCGGUUUCCUUAUAAUUAUACAUUGGAGGCCAUAUUUCAUCCAUCAGAGACAAUCCAGAGCCUACAUUACCUUCUUGCAAAAGUGGUUGCUCAUCAAGAACUGCCUUUCUAUUUAUAUACACUCCUCCUAAGAAGCGAAUAAACAACAUCUCUCAUGAUUUCUGUUCUGCUGGAUUUGUUCCUGGCGCUAUUGUUUAUUUCUCAUAUGAUCUAACCAAAUGUUAGUGCACUUCUAUUUGGAUAUGAUGGUGCUGCAACUGGCCCCCUAUCUUCAAGAAGAGGUCAUGACUUUGCAAGGAUUGCAAUCUGUAACAGAUAAGAUAGAGUCCGAUGAACCCACCAGAAAUGAAUCUUCAAUAACCACCCGACGGCAGCGGGAGCGGGAUACGUCCUGGAUUCGGUCAACUGACUUCGGACAUUUUGACCGGAGUCUAUCGACAAAUUUAGGAGAAAAAUUGAGAUUUUGAUUUCUCAAAAUAAAAAAUAAAAUAGAUUUAGGAGAAUGAAAGAAUAAUGUCCAUCUUGGAGAAUGAAAUAUUAAAUUCUACAAUAUUCAUGUAAG